rnacentral:hammerhead_ribozyme from 1 species
GCACCGCUGACGAGUCCCUAACAGGACGAAGCAGCUGUCCAGUGC